UAUUGUGGGAGUUGAAAUCCAAAAUACCUGAAAGGCCAGUUUCUAUACGCUAUAAGCUAUACUGGACAAGCCUACCCAUGCUAUCCAGUUCCCAUGUCCGUCUAUCUUUUAUCUUGUUCCAGUUUGUUCGACACAAUUAAAAUAUUCCUCCACUGGAAGGAGCGUGGGCAGGUGCUGUUUGAGCUGUAGGCCUGAACCAGCUAGGCCCGAAGCCUGCCUCGAGUUGCUCAACUCCACCCCCCGCUCCAAGGUGGCGGCAGUGAGGAGGAGGGGCGUUGCGUCAGCGGGGCGGAAACCCAAGCUCCCCCACCCCCGAAAAUUCUUUCUCACCAAGGCCUUUCUUUAGCGUGUCGUCGUGGCCACGAGAAUUCUUUUGAAGCCCUCAGUUAAGAGGAAAAGGCCGAGAAAGGAAAAAACUUGAGUGAGGAGGGCGGCUCGAGGCUCCCUUUGUGUGCGAAGCCGCGCAUGCGCACUCAAGGGCCGGGCCCGGCUCGCUUCCUCUCCGGCACGCGCCCCGCCCGCGCGCCCUCCAUUUUGUGGCAGCGGCAGCCGCCGCCAUUUUUUCCUCACAGCAAAGCGAGAGACAAGGUAAAAGGCUUCACAGAGAUCGAGAAACAGCGCGAAGGAAAGUACUGCGGCGGCAAUGGCUCCGAAUAGAAGACACACAAAGGCCCUAAUAUUCACACAAGCAGAGCGAGGAACAGAAGUGCAAAGCCGAGUAACUUUCUUGCCUGGAGAGUGAGACAAAGCGAUUGACAGCAAUGUAGUUGUGCUUUAUACUGACUCAGCAAAAGCGUCCAGCGGAGAGUAACAGGCCUCCUGAAUUAACACUCUUUUCCACAUGAAAAAUUGAGACUUAAUUUUCUGAAUUGAAAUCUCCCCCUUGCUAUUUUGAAACUCCAGUCUGACUCACAAAAACAUACUCUCAGAAUUAAAAUAUUACCACACCCAGA